AAAUGUUGCAUGGAGGAUUUGUUACUUUAUAACAUGUAAUAAUUCGUUUAUUUUCAUUCAGCAUUAUGCAUUCAGCUGUAAGAGUGGAUUUUUUUCUCUCUCGGUGAACAUGAACAUGAAACAUGAAGUCCGUUUGCACAGAGCGACCUGAUUGACAUAAUAGAGAGAAGUAAUCUACUCUGGCCCUCCCAUUUGACUCCCUGUGUCAAUAUUGGAUGAGAGGAAAGCUCCGUGUGACAGGUGUCCACGACAGAGUUCCGCGCGCUACACAGACAGCACAGAUCGAUGUAUUUACCCGCGUGCAACUGACUAUAUGCACCAACGUUAUAAAGCCUCGUGAGAGAUGAGAGUUGUCUUAAAGGGAAAAGGACAAGUCAUCUUCCGAGACAUAAUGGAUUAAUCAGUAUGAAGGAUGGAUCUUUUGUGUUUUCUGUACUUGUCUCACGUUGAGCCUCACGCACAAUACCUGAAGAUGAAAAAGGUUUUGUUCGUUCGGCUCGCGUUACGCAGAUGCAGACACGCUUCAGUAAAACACGAGAACAACUGGACGGUUUCACUGCUGGCAGAGUUUGAAGAUUAUGCUGUUGACCGAAGUUUUGGCACAGUUUAAGGAAAGAAAGAAUAGGGGAAAAAACCACAAAAAAAAAAACAAAAAAAAACAAUACAAACAACAA